CCUACGGGUGGCAGCAGUGGGGAAUAUUGGACAAUGGGCGAAAGCCUGAUCCAGCCAUGCCGCGUGUGUGAAGAAGGCCUUCGGGUUGUAAAGCACUUUCAGUGGGGAAGAAAGCCUUGGGGCUAAUACCCUCGAGGAAGGACAUCACCCACAGAAGAAGCACCGGCUAACUCCGUGCCAGCAGCCGCGGUAAUACGGAGGGUGCGAGCGUUAAUCGGAAUUACUGGGCGUAAAGCGCGCGUAGGCGGUCUGAUAAGCCGGUUGUGAAAGCCCCGGGCUCAACCUGGGAACGGCAUCCGGAACUGUCAGGCUAGAGUGCAGGAGAGGAAGGUAGAAUUCCCGGAGUAGCGGUGAAAUGCGUAGAGAUCGGGAGGAAUACCAGUGGCGAAGGCGGCCUUCUGGACUGACACUGACGCUGAGGUGCGAAAGCGUGGGUAGCAAACAGGAUUAGAUACCCCUGUAGUC
rnacentral:rRNA from 1 species